rnacentral:sRNA from 1 species
ACAUCACGGAUAUCCUGGACCAGCUAG